rnacentral:rRNA from 1 species
AGCGGCCUACGGGACGCAGCAGUGGGGAAUAUUGCACAAUGGGGGAAACCCUGAUGCAGCGACGCCGCGUGGGUGAAGAGAUACUUCGGUACGUAAAGCCCUAUCAGCAGGGAAGAAAAUGACGGUACCUGAUUAAGAAGCCCCGGCUAACUACGUGCCAGCAGCCGCGGUAAUACGUAGGGGGCAAGCGUUAUCCGGAUUUACUGGGUGUAAAGGGAGCGUAGACGGCAUUGCAAGUCCGGAGCGAAAGCCCACGGCCCAACCGUGGGACUGCUCUGGAAACUGUAGAGCUGGAGUGCGGGAGG